rnacentral:lncRNA from 1 species
AAAAUUUGGUAUUUAUUUUUGAUUGUGUGUGUAUGACCAUGGAUAAUUGGCUGCACAAAUAUUAUAAAUACAUAAUGUAUGUUAAAUUUAUUAAGCUACAAAACAUUAUACAUGAUCGGCCAAAGUAAAUUAUUUGAGUAAAGUAUAUCUUGAUGGUACAUUUCGGCUAGUAUAAAAUGUAUAUGGAUGUCGUAUGACUAUGUUUAAUUUGGGAAGUAAAUUGUUUGAUUUAGCUCAAGGGCCUAGAGGAUCAAAGUUGGAUAAGGGAAAGGAAAAAGUGAUCGAAU